AAGCAGGAUUCAGACUACAAUAUAGCUGUUAAGUGCUGUAUUGUCAUUCCCCCUGCUCAAAUUAAAGUUGUUUCUGAACUAUACCCAUCUGCUAUUCUGUAGCAGCCAGGGAUGCUUGGUCACAUACAU
rnacentral:snoRNA from 1 species